rnacentral:rRNA from 1 species
UUUGACAUGUACGGAAUUCUCCAGAGAUGGAGAAGUGCUCGAAAGAGAGCCGUAACACAGGUGCUGCAUGGCUGUCGUCAGCUCGUGUCGUGAGAUGUUGGGUUAAGUCCCGCAACGAGCGCAACCCUUGUCAUUAGUUGCUACAUUUAGUUGGGCACUCUAAUGAGACUGCCGGUGACAAACCGGAGGAAGGUGGGGAUGACGUCAAGUCCUCAUGGCCCUUAUAGGUGG